AGAGUUUGAUCCUGGCUCAGAACGGACGCUGGCGGCGUGCUUAACACAUGCAAGUCGAACGGGAUCCAGAGCUUGCUCUGGUGAGAGUGGCGCACGGGUGAGUAACGCGUGGAUAACCUGCCCUGGUAUCCGGAAUAACAUCUCGAAAGGGGUGCUAAUACCGGAUAAGCCUACGGAGCCUUCGGUCUCUGCAGGAAAAGGUGGCCUCUAUUUAUGAGCUACCGUAUCAGGAUGGGUCCGCGUACCAUUAGCUAGUUGGUGGGGUAAUGGCCUACCAAGGCGACGAUGGUUAGCUGGUCUGAGAGGAUGAUCAGCUACACUGGAACUGAGACACGGUCCAGACUCCUACGGGAGGCAGCAGUGGGGAAUUUUGCGCAAUGGGGGAAACCCUGACGCACCAACGCCGCGUGAGUGAUGAAGGCUUUCGGGUCGUAAAGCUCUGUCAGAGGGGAAGAAAUGAGUCUGGCUAAUAUCCAGAUUUCUUGACGGUACCCUCAAAGGAAGCACCGGCUAACUCCGUGCCAGCCGCCGCGGUAAUUC
rnacentral:rRNA from 1 species